rnacentral:rRNA from 1 species
UACCAGCACCCCGAGUGGUCGGGACGAUUAUUGGGCCUAAAGCAUCCGUAGCCGGUCAUGCAAGUCUUCCGUUAAAUCCAGCUGCUCAACGGUUGGGCUGCGGAGGAUACUACGUGGCUAGGAGGCGGGAGAGGCAAGCGGUACUCAGUGGGUAGGGGUAAAAUCCUUUGAUCCAUUGAAGACCACCAGUGGCGAAGGCGGCUUGCCAGAACGCGCUCGACGGUGAGGGAUGAAAGCUGGGGGAGCAAACCGG